AAGUCGUAACAAGGUAACCGUAGGUGAACCUGCGGUUGGAUCAUUAACAAAAUGAUAAGAGUCCCUUGGGCCUUUACUGGUUCAAGGGCUUUUAUAAACACCUGUGAACUGUAAUUGUAUCUGGUGGGGAGUUCUUUGAAUAACCCACCGUCAAUAAUUUGAACUUUUAUAAUCUUGAAUUAGUUUUUAAAUUAAUUAUAUUAAUCUUAAACAACUUUUGACAACGGAUCUCUAGGCUCUC
rnacentral:misc_RNA from 1 species